AGUGAACGCUGGCGGCGUGCUUAACACAUGCAAGUCGAGCGAGAUUUGACAGCGUAUCGUCAAGUCUAGCGGCAGACGGGUGAGUAAUACUUGGGCAAUCUGCCCUUGAGUGGGGGACAACCUGCCGAAAGGCGGGCUAAUACCCCAUAAGACCACGGGAAUGCAUAUUCCAGAGGUCAAAGCUCCGCAAGGGGCGCUUGAGGAGGAGCCCGAGUCCUACAUGGUAGUUGGCGGGGUAAUGGCCCACCAAGCCGUUGACGGGUAGCCGACCUGAAAGGGUAACCGGCCACACUGGCACUGAGACACGGGCCAGACUCCUACGGGAGGCAGCAGUGGGGAAUUUUGGACAAUGGGGGCAACCCUGAUCCAGCGACGCCGCGUGAAGGAUGAAGGUCUUCGGAUUGUAAACUUCUUUUGAAGGGGAUGAAUGACCUGGUGAAUAGCCAGGAAUGACAGUACUCUUCGAAUAAGCCACGGCUAACUACGUGCCAGCCGCCG
rnacentral:rRNA from 1 species